rnacentral:rRNA from 1 species
UGGGGAAUAUUGCACAAUGGGGGAAACCCUGAUGCAGCGACGCCGCGUGAAGGAAGAAGUAUUUCGGUAUGUAAACUUCUAUCAGCAGGGAAGAAGAUGACGGUACCUGAGUAAGAAGCACCGGCUAAAUACGUGCCAGCAGCCGCGGUAAUACGUAUGGUGCAAGCGUUAUCCGGAUUUACUGGGUGUAAAGGGAGCGUAGACGGAUAGGCAAGUCUGGAGUGAAAACCCAGGGCUCAACCCUGGGACUGCUUUGGAAACUGCAGAUCUGGAGUGCCGGAGAGGUAAGCGGAAUUCCUAGUGUAGCGGUGAAAUGCGUAGAUAUUAGGAGGAACACCAGUGGCGAAGGCGGCUUACUGGACGGUGACUGACGUUGAGGCUCGAAAGCGUGGGGAGCAAACAGG